rnacentral:misc_RNA from 1 species
GAUGAAGAACGCAGCGAAAUGCGAUAAGUAGUGUGAAUUGCAGAAUUCCGUGAAUCAUCGAAUAUUUGAACGCACAUUGCGCCUUCUGGUAUUCCGGAAGGCAUGCCUGUUCGAGAGUCAUUAACAACCGUUUCGAUCCCUUUCUUUCAGAAAUUACAAAGAGGAAAAGGGUUUGGUUAUGGUGGAGGAGGGAAAGGGAGCGUUUAGCCUGUAAAAAAAGAGGCUGUGUUCCGCCUCCCCCCCAAAAUUGUACAGGCGGUCGUGUGCGCCCACGCAUCGAGGUGUUGUAAAAGCUGCCACGGCACUUUUCACCUGUCCAGUGCGAGAUUGGCCAGCCGGUUUAAAAACCCCUCCAAACAAUCAAAGGUUGACCUCGGAUCAGGUAGGGAUACCCGCUGAACUUAAGCAUAUCAAUAAGCGGAGGA